rnacentral:lncRNA from 1 species
CCUGAGUAUAGCUUAAGCCAUCCUCACAGGGUUAUCAAGAAUUCUGAGGUCAGGCAUGGUGGCUCACACCUGUAAUUCCAGCACUUUGGGAGGCCGAGGCAGGAGGAUUGCUUGAGCCCAGGACUUCCAGAUCAGCCUGGGCAACACGGAGAAACCCCAUAUCUACAAAAAAAUUAGCCAGGCAUGGUGGUGCACAGCUGUAGUCCUAGCUAUUGCAGACGCUGAGCUUGGAAGCAUCGCUUGAGCCUGGAAGGUCAAGCUGCAGUGAGCCAAGAUCGCGCCACUGCACUCCAACCUGGACGACAGAGCAAGACCCUAUCUCAAAACAAAGAAUUCUGGGCCGGGCGCGGUGGCUUACGCCUG